GGACCCGCACAAGCAGUGGAGCAUGUGGUUUAAUUCGAAGAUACGCGCAGAACCUUACCAACCCUUGACAUCCUGUGCUACAUUCAGAGAUGAAUGGUUCCCUUCGGGGACGCAGUGACAGGUGCUGCAUGGCUGUCGUCAGCUCGUGUCGUGAGAUGUUCGGUUAAGUCCGGCAACGAGCGCAACCCACAUCCCUAGUUGCCAGCAGUUCGGCUGGGCACUCUAUGGAAACUGCCCGUGAUAAGCGGGAGGAAGGUGUGGAUGACGUCAAGUCCUCAUGGCCCUUACGGGUUGGGCUACACACGUGCUACAAUGGCAUCUACAGUGGGUUAAUCCCCAAAAGAUGUCUCAGUUCGGAUUGUCGUCUGCAACUCGACGGCAUGAAGUCGGAAUCGCUAGUAAUCGC
rnacentral:rRNA from 1 species